rnacentral:rRNA from 1 species
AGAUUUAACGGCCGCGGUACCCUAACCGUGCGAAGGUAGCAUAAUCACUUGUUCUUUAAAUGAGGACUCGUAUCAACGGCAUCACGAGGAUCCUACUGUCUCCCCCCUCUAAUCGGUGAAACUGAUCUCUCCGUGAAGAAGCGGAGAUGUACAUAUAAGACGAGAAGACCCCAUGGAGCUUUAAACCCAACAACACCCGCCCCCCUCCAAAUCCUAUUAUUUACCCGGUGAUUGUUUGUUUGGUUUUAGGUUGGGGUGACCGCGGAGUAUAAGAUAUCCUCCAUGAAAAAAAGCUAACUGCCCUUAUUAGAGAAAGACACUUCCAAAAAAUAAUAAAUUAAUUUUAAAUGAUCCGACAUUCGAUCAACGAACCAAGUUACCCUGGGGAUAACAGCGCAAUCCGUCCCGAGAGCCCCUAUCGACAGGCGGGUUUACGACCUCGAUGUUGGAUCAGGGUAUCCCAGUGGUGCAGCAGCUACUAAAGGUUCGUUUGUUCAACGAUUAAAACCCU